rnacentral:rRNA from 1 species
AUUGAACGCUGGCGGCAGGCUUAACACAUGCAAGUCGAGCGGAGAGAGGUAGCUUGCUACUGAUCUUAGCGGCGGACGGGUGAGUAAUGCUUAGGAAUCUGCCUAUUAGUGGGGGACAACAUUUCGAAAGGAAUGCUAAUACCGCAUACGUCCUACGGGAGAAAGCAGGGGAUCUUCGGACCUUGCGCUAAUAGAUGAGCCUAAGUCGGAUUAGCUAGUUGGUGGGGUAAAGGCCGACCAAGGCGACGAUCUGUAGCGGGUCUGAGAGGAUGAUCCGCCACACUGGGACUGAGACACGGCCCAGACUCCUACGGGAGGCAGCAGUGGGGAAUAUUGGACAAUGGGCGGAAGCCUGAUCCAGCCAUGCCGCGUGUGUGAAGAAGGCCUUAUGGUUGUAAAGCACUUUAGGCGAGGAGGAGGCUACUUUAGUUAAUACCUAGAGAUAGUGGACGUUACUCGCAGAAUAAGCACCGGCUAACUCUGUGCCAGCAGCCGCCGUAAAAC